CGAAAUCGGUAGACGCUACGGACUUAAAAUCCGUCGAACUCUUAAAUCGUGAGGGUUCAAGUCCCUCUAUCCC
rnacentral:tRNA from 1 species